GCUGGACCUGCGGCGCGGGCUGUGGGCCGAGCUUCCUGGGAGCCGCCUCCCAGAUGGAAUAAAUGAGGCCAAAUAACCCAGCUCUCGAUUCGCAUGGCCGAGCGAGAACGAGGAGCAGCCGCUGGAGCCCUUCGGGAUGUAAUUCUCAUUACUUCCUCCGCUUUGCACCGGCCCUGUCACUGGUCCUCUCUCAAAGCCUGCGUCUUGGGUGCAGAUGUCGUCAUUCUAAGCUUCGUCUUCGCUUCCCAACUUUGAGUACUUGAAAGCAACUUUACGUGUUGUGCAGAGUUUAACUCUUACACGUUUCUACAUGUAUAAAGUCAACUUAAGUAAAAAGACUUGCAUCCAGGGACGGGCAAAAGUAGGUUCACAGAUAAAUAACACAAUAACAAAUACAAUAGUUGAUAAUUAGUCAUACAAGAAUCGGUUGUUUUUUGCAUACUCACAACCGGAAACCUACUUUGCCCACCUUGUGUUUUCUGUGUAUUUACCCUAAAUAUUAAUAUGAAGUGUAUUUAGCAAAACGAAUGUACUGUGGUUGCAGAGUCUGUAAUGUAACACAUUUAUAAAUACAAUACUUUGUAUGAGAAAAAAGCUAAUUUCUGUGUUUCUUAAAGUACGUUUUUGUAGACCAUUUUUGGAAAGAUGUGUGACUGUUAGCAUGAAUUUCAUUCACCACUGACUAUCUGGAUUUACAGACAGACCCAAGUUGCCUGAUAACUACACUCAGGACACCUGGCAGAAGCUUCAUGAGGCAGUGAAAGCCAUACAAGGCAUUUAAGUUGUUUCCAUUGCUCUGUGCAGAAUGACAUUGGGAUUGGACAAGAAGAUACUGGUUAAAUGAGGUUCCUUUGUAAGGUGGUGUUCUUGUGGCAAAAAAAACUGAAAGUUUGGUUUGUUUUUGUGUGUGAUCAUGAAUGCACAAUAAAAAGACCCUCUAUGCUGCAUUCUUUAGCUACAGAGAUUACUUAGGUAUUCCUGAAGAUAAGCUAUUUUAGUUGAUGAACACUUAGAUUAAAACAAGAACCCUUAAUUGGUGAACAUUAAGAAGAAAGUCAGUGUUAAAAACUGGCUUAUUAAUUAUGCAAUCUAAAUACUGGCAUCUGUUUUUCAUUUAUUUUUAAAAAGUUUUAAACUUUAAUGACUGAUUUUUCUAUAAUGAGGUUUCUCGGUGAGAUCUCUGAUGUGCCAAGAGGACAUCGGGUCUGAUGUGUUUGGAGCAAUGAACCCAUCAGCGUCUUUAUUUCCACUGAAUUAUUUGUGAAUUUUCUGUUUAAGGUUUUGGGGGGAGAGUGUGUUUGUGUUUACCAUUCUAAGAUUGAGUCUAGCAGUCCCUGUAUUUUGCAUUGGGGUAACUGCUGUUUGAUUUUUUUUUAAUUGCAGUAUUUGUAUGAAUGGUAUAAUAAAGUUUGGUUUUGUUCUUACAGUCACGCACAGGGACAGUCGUCAUUCUCUGUGCCAUAACCACUGUAAAAUGUUUUAUAGGAGACUUAAAGUCUUUAUUGUGAAGCAGAGGUUAUUUUGUCAAAAGAUUAAAAGGAUUUCAUUGGCACCUGGUUUCAUGUUGUGUAUGUAUAGUGAAGUUGAAUAGCAGAUUAUGUUAGUAUGGUAACUAUAACAAAGAUACUUUUAGAUAACAUUUAAAACUACUUUAUAUUUUACAUAAUGGCAUGUUUCAUUUUUAUUAAAAACUACCAAAGGAAUUUUGAUCAUGGUAUAAGUGUUUAAAGCAAUAUUUUCUGGACUAUAACAAGUUUAUAUAAUUUGAUUUUGUGCUAAAUUAUUCAAAGAUUCUGCAUUUUUGAAACAUGCGUGUUUAAAAUACGACAUCUUAUGGGUUUCCAUAUGAAAAUCCUCUAAGUAUCAUUUCUAUAUUUGUAAAUUUUCAUUUGAGUUCUAUGAUAUAUGGUCUAUAAAACACCAAAUAGAUUUCUACUUCUUAUAUUUUAAGUUCACUGUCUCUAGAGAUUAAUAUUGUAACUUAAUGUAGACUUACUCUGAAUAAAAUUAGUUUAAUUGGCCUUAAAAUUACAUUAAUAAAACUUUGUGGUAUGCA